CAAAUACUCCCUCCAUCCGGAAUUACGUCUCGCACAAAUGUAUAAAAAUGGAUGUAUCUAGAACUAAAAUACAUCUAGAUACAUCCAUUCCUAUGAAAAGUAUUUUCGGACGGAGGGAGUAGUUU
rfam:Hordeum vulgare subsp. vulgare, WGS project CAJW01000000 data, contig: morex_contig_53197